GCCUCGGUGGUGCAGUGGUAGGAGCACGCGUGCCCGGUAUGGAUGAAGAGAGGGUUCGAUUCCCGCCUGAGGCC